rnacentral:lncRNA from 1 species
UUUUUUCUUUUAAUUUCUAAAUUCAAUCAUCCAAAUCCAACUUUAAUGUUAGAUAAGAUUCCAAAGACAAUUUUUCCAGAAAAAGUAAAAGUAGAUGUAGAUCUAGAGUAGAGUAGAAUUAAAGUAAUGAAAAUACAAGAUUCCAAGACAAAUUCACUCACAAUCCCACAUGCUUACUUAUGCAAUGAACCCAUGAGACCAUGACAUUGCUUUCCCAUUUGCUAGGUCUUCUUCUCUCUUGCUAUCUUCAUCUCAUCUCUCAAAAAUCUUCAAGAAAACCAUCAACAUUAUCGUUUUCAGAGGAAAGCAUUUUUUUAAGGUGAAAUUUCUUCUUCUUCCCAUUUUUGCAUGUGAGUUGUGACAAUGUGAAUGUGAGCAUGUGAGGUUUCUUCGCAUUUUUUGGGUUUGAGUUGUGACAGUGAGAGGCUGAGACGCUCAAUUAUUGAAUAAAGGAGAAGAGAUUUCUUCCCAUUUUUGGUUUGGG